UUUCCGUAGGUGAACCUGCGGAAGGAUCAUUAUUGAAUAAACAGUGUGGGUUGUUGCUGGCCUUCUGGCAUGUGCACGCCUGCCAUAUGUUUCAUUCCCUUCUUUCCACCUGUGCACUAUGUGUAGGCUAUGUAUGCUGUAUUGUCAGGCCCUUCAUAAGGCUUGGUUUAGAGAGGAUGCUUGUCUUUAUGAGACAGGCUCAUCUUGGGCGUACAGGUCUAUGUUUUACACCAACACCAAUGAAUGUCUUAGAAUGUAUUUUUUCAGGCUCUUGCUAGCCUUUAAACCAUAUACAACUUUCAACAACGGAUCUCUUGGCUCUC
rnacentral:misc_RNA from 1 species